GAGUUUGAUCCUGGCUCAGGACGAACGCUGGCGGCGUGCUUAACACAUGCAAGUCGAACGGUGAACCUCCUUCGGGAGGGGAUCAUUGGCGAACGGGUGAGUAACACGUGAGCAACCUGCCCCUAGUUCUGGGAUAACCCCGGGAAACCGGAGCUAAUACCGGAUACGAGACCAAGUGGCAUCACAAGGUCUGGAAAGUUUUUCGACUAGGGAUGGGCUCGCGGCCUAUCAGCUUGUUGGUGAGGUAACGGCCCACCAAGGCGACGACGGGUAGCCGGCCUGAGAGGGCGACCGGCCACACUGGGACUGAGACACGGCCCCAGACUCCUACGGGAGGCAGCAGUGGGGAAUAUUGCGCAAUGGGCGAAAGCCUGACGCAGCGACGCCGCGUGAGGGAUGAAGGCCUUCGGGUUGUAACCGUACUUCUAGCAGGAAGAAGACGAAAGUAGACGGUACCGUAGCAGAAGAAGACACCGG
rnacentral:rRNA from 1 species